rnacentral:rRNA from 1 species
UCGGACUGGAGUCUGCAACCCGACUCCACGAAGCUGGAUUCGCUAGUAAUCGCGCAUCAGCCACGGCGCGGUGAAUACGUUCCCGGGCCUUGUACACACCGCCCGUCAAGCCAUGGGAGGCCGGGGGUACCUGAAGUGCGUAACCGCGAGGAUCGCCCUAGGGUAAAACUGGUGACUGGGGCUAAGUCGUAACAAGGUAGC